AAUUCGAUUGAGUUUGAUCCUGGCUCAGGACGAACGCUGGCGGCGUGCUUAACACAUGCAAGUCGAGCGAGGCCCCGCCUUCGGGAGGGUGCCCUAGCGGCGAACGGGUGAGUAACACGUGGGCAACCUGCCCCUAGCACUGGGAUAACUCCGGGAAACCGGGGCUAAUACCGGAUAUGACCUUCGAGGGCAUCCUCUUUGGUGUAAAGGAUUCUGGCUAGGGAUGGGCUCGCGGCCUAUCAGCUUGUUGGUGGGGUAAUGGCCUACCAAGGCGACGACGGGUAGCCGGCCUGAGAGGGCGACCGGCCACACUGGGACUGAGACACGGCCCAGACUCCUACGGGAGGCAGCAGUGGGGAAUAUUGCACAAUGGGCGAAAGCCUGAUGCAGCGACGCCGCGUGAGGGAUGACUGCCUUCGGGUUGUAAACCUCUUUCAGCAGGGACGAAGCGAAAGUGACGGUACCUGCAGAAGAAGCACCGGCCAACUACGUGCCAGCAGCCGCGGUAAUACGUAGGGUGCAAGCGUUGUCCGGAAUUAUUGGGCGUAAAGAGCUCGUAGGCGGUUUGUCGCGUCGGCUAUGAAAACCUGGGGCUCAACCCCGGGCCUGCAGCCGAUACGGGCAAACUAGAAUUCGGUAGGGGAGACUG
rnacentral:rRNA from 1 species